rnacentral:tmRNA from 1 species
GGGGAUGUAAAGGCUUCGACACGGAAUGUCAUGGCAAGAGCUGCGAGUCGGGAAUGUCGACGUACCCGUUAAACUAUCGGCGCUAAAUUAAACGCAAACAACAAGAAAAAACUGUUUGCUGUUCCUUCUCUGAAAACUGCUGCCCCCGUGGCGGUUGCUGCUUAGAGAAUGAGCACACCCACCGCGCUUUGCGCCACGGAGUAAGGUGGGUCUCUAAUACAGUGGCUGCCUGACGGGUCCAUGCUGAUAAGCCCGCCAGAAAGAUUUUCAGCUGGUCUGCCGAAACCCUGUCUGUGGGGCCGCCGGCAGAUGAGAUUUAAAACCGCAGACUAGACUUCGUAGACGCUUUUGUAGUGGGUUUCGUGGACGCGAGUUCGAUUCUCGCCAUCUCCACUU